GUCCACGCCCUAAACGAUGAAUACUCGAUGUUGGCGAUAUACAGUCAGCGUCUAAGGGAAACCGUUAAGUAUUCCACCUGGGGAGUACGUCCGCAAGGAUGAAACUCAAAGAAAUUGGCGGGGGUCCGCACAAGCGGUGGAUUAUGUGGUUUAAUUCGAUGAUACGCGAGGAACCUUACCAGGGCUAGAAUGUAAUUGGAAUAUAGAGGAAACUUUAUAGCUAGCAAUAGCCGGUUACAAGGUGCUGCAUGGUUGUCGU
rnacentral:rRNA from 1 species